rnacentral:rRNA from 1 species
AUUGAACGCUGGCGGCAUGCCUUACACAUGCAAGUCGAACGGUAACGGGCCUUCGGGUGCCGACGAGUGGCGAACGGGUGAGUAAUACAUCGGAACGUGCCCGAUCGUGGGGGAUAACGAGGCGAAAGCUUUGCUAAUACCGCAUACGAUCUACGGAUGAAAGCAGGGGACCGCAAGGCCUUGCGCGGACGGAGCGGCCGAUGGCAGAUUAGGUAGUUGGUGGGAUAAAAGCUUACCAAGCCGACGAUCUGUAGCUGGUCUGAGAGGAUGAUCAGCCACACUGGGACUGAGACACGGCCCAGACUCCUACGGGAGGCAGCAGUGGGGAAUUUUGGACAAUGGGCGCAAGCCUGAUCCAGCCAUGCCGCGUGCAGGAUGAAGGCCUUCGGGUUGUAAACUGCUUUUGUACGGAACGAAAAGCCUUCUUUUAAUACAGGAGGGUCAUGACGGUACCGUAAGAAGAAGCACCGGCUAACUACGU